GACGAACGCUGGCGGCGUGCUUAACACAUGCAAGUCGAACGGAAAGGCCCUGCUUUUGUGGGGUGCUCGAGUGGCGAACGGGUGAGUAACACGUGAGUAACCUGCCCUUGACUUUGGGAUAACUUCAGGAAACUGGGGCUAAUACCGGAUAGGAGCUCCUGCUGCAUGGUGGGGGUUGGAAAGUCUCGGCGGUUGGGGAUGGACUCGCGGCUUAUCAGCUUGUUGGUGGGGUAGUGGCUUACCAAGGCUUUGACGGGUAGCCGGCCUGAGAGGGUGACCGGCCACAUUGGGACUGAGAUACGGCCCAGACUCCUACGGGAGGCAGCAGUGGGGAAUAUUGCACAAUGGGCGGAAGCCUGAUGCAGCAACGCCGCGUGCGGGAUGACGGCCUUCGGGUUGUAAACCGCUUUCGCCUGUGACGAAGCGUGAGUGACGGUAAUGGGUAAUGAAGCACCGGCUAACUACGUG
rnacentral:rRNA from 1 species